UACGGGGGGGGCAAGCGUUGUUCGGAAUUACUGGGCGUAAAGGGCUCGUAGGCGGCCAACUAAGUCAGACGUGAAAUCCCUCGGCUUAACCGGGGAACUGCGUCUGAUACUGGAUGGCUUGAGUUUGGGAGAGGGAUGCGGAAUUCCAGGUGUAGCGGUGAAAUGCGUGGAUAUCUGGAGGAACACCGGUGGCGAAGGCGGCAUCCUGGACCAACACUGACGCUGAGUGAGCGAAAGCCAGGGGAGCAAACGGG
rnacentral:rRNA from 1 species